UGGGGAAUAUUGCACAAUGGGCGCAAGCCUGAUGCAGCCAUGCCGCGUGUAUGAAGAAGGCCUUCGGGUUGUAAAGUACUUUCAGUCGGGAGGAAGGUGUCAAGGUUAAUAACCUUGUCGAUUGACGUUACCCGCAGAAGAAGCACCGGCUAACUCCGUGCCAGCAGCCGCGGUAAUACGGAGGGUGCAAGCGUUAAUCGGAAUUACUGGGCGUAAAGCGCACGCAGGCGGUCUGUCAAGUCGGAUGUGAAAUCCCCGGGCUCAACCUGGGAACUGCAUUCGAAACUGGCAGGCUAGAGUCUUGUAGAGGGGGGUAGAAUUCCAGGUGUAGCGGUGAAAUGCGUAGAGAUCUGGAGGAAUACCGGUGGCGAAGGCGGCCCCCUGGACAAAGACUGACGCUCAGGUGCGAAAGCGUGGGGAGCAAACAGG
rnacentral:rRNA from 1 species